GACGGAAGGUGCAAGCGUUGCUCGGAAUCACUGGGCGUAAAGGGUGCGUAGGCGGCGCGGUAAGUCGGGUGUGAAAUCUCGGAGCUUAACUCCGAAACUGCAUUCGAUACUGCCGUGCUUGAGGACUGGAGAGGAGACUGGAAUUUACGGUGUAGCGGUGAAAUGCGUAGAUAUCGUAAGGAAGACCAGUGGCGAAGGCGGGUCUCUGGACAGUUCCUGACGCUGAGGCACGAAGGUCAGGGGAGCAAACCGG
rnacentral:rRNA from 1 species